AUGCCAAGCCACAAUUUUGCCUGCCCCGAGGGAGUUUUCCACGCCCGGAUCAACAACGUUCGCCAGGCGGUCACUGUCGAGUCGAUUCGCGAGUUGUUCCGUCGCUCCGGUGAUGGGUAUGUGAUCUGCGCUUAUGAGCGGGUGGUGGACGGGAUGUACGGCGUUGAGGCAUAUGUCGAGUUCCGGUCACGGUGGAGGGCGACCCGAGCUCGAGAUGCCCUGGAUGGCCAUGCCAUCUACGAGGGGUGUUGCAUCCUUUCCAUGGACCUCCUACCACCGACCUACACCACCAUCACCAUGCCGGAUGACGACGGGAUGGUGCCGUCGUACUUCUACGACGACACUCUGUACGCGGAAUGGGAGGCAGCGUUGGAUGGGGUCCAGCGCCAUGAUGUGGUGCCUGAUGCUUCCACCGACGACCUCCAUCUCGAGGCGUCCAUGGGCGCCAUCAGCGAGACUCCGUCCGAGCUUGCCGCUCCUACAACAUCAACUCCGUCAGCGAUCACCGGCAACGCCAUCCUGGAGCUCAGUGUGUAUGACAAGGUGAUCAAAGUCGACAACACCAACGACGCCACUACGACACCCACCACCUAUUUGACGGGGUGCCCAAGCUGCGAAACACCCGAGGAGUAG
rnacentral:rRNA from 1 species